GGCUGAGGGUUUCUGGGGAAAAGACGCUCAGGAGGUGGAACCCAAGGGGCGGGAAGUCGGGGGACGCCGGGAGAACGAGUUGCAGCGUGGCGUGGGAGCCUAGAGAAAGGGGUUGGAGAAGGUGGAGAAACUGAGGACUGAACACUGGCCUGGCCGUUUUUUUUUUUUUUAAACUUUAGUGUUUGCAAUCCAGGUACUGAGUAUCAAAAAUAUCAAACCUAGAAAAGGAUUCCAUAAGGUACUGCUGAUUUGUCUGAAAGCAAUGGUAUUGAUUACAGAUACCUGUUACUCCUUGCUUUCGGAGGCGACAGUGUCAGCGCCUACGGGAGGAGCCUGCUUUGAGACCGCCAUAGAGGUACCGUUGCAAAAAACUGUCUCACUGCCAACCUACCUGAAGGCUACGGCAAAGGGAAACCACGUUUGCAGAAGUCCAUUGAGCCACAGCUGUGAUAGCCAGUGAAGGACAUAAGCCUGGUCUUUUUUCUGGAGCCCAGGCUGGCCUUGAUCUUAAGACCCUUCUUCCUGCUUCGGGUUCUGAGAUGCUGAGAUUACAAACAUAGUCUACCAUACCCAGCACCAUUUGCUAAACUUGACUGUGUAUGGUAUCUCUGUAUACUUUUUACUUUUUAAAUAAAUCAUGUUCUAACCUACUUUCUAUAAAUAGUUCCUAUUGGGGCCCAUGCCCAAAUCUGUACAUUUGAAGGUAUUCUUGAAGCUCUGGACACAGAGGCAGAAAACUAGACAUACUUAAAUGCCCCUCCACAAAGGGAUGGCUGAAUAAAUUGUGAUGUCUUCAUCCCCGAGAAUAUUAGGCAGCUAGAACAAU